rnacentral:rRNA from 1 species
GACGAACGCUGGCGGCGUGCUUAACACAUGCAAGUCGAACGGUGAAGCGCCUUCCUUUUUGGUGGGUGUGGAUGAGUGGCGAACGGGUGAGUAACACGUGAGUAACCUGCCCCCUUCUUCUGGAUAACCGCAUGAAAGUGUGGCUAAUACGGGAUAUUCUGGGUCUGUCGCAUGAUGGGUCUGGGAAAGAUAUUGUUUCGGUGGGGGAUGGGCUCGCGGCCUAUCAGCUUGUUGGUGGGGUGAUGGCCUACCAAGGCGGUGACGGGUAGCCGGCCUGAGAGGGUGGACGGUCAAAGUGGGACUGAGACACGGCCCAGACUCCUACGGGAGGCAGCAGUGGGGAAUAGUGCACAAUGGGCGCAAGCCUGAUGCAGCGACGCCGCGGGAGGGAUGGAGGCCUUCGGGUUGUGAACCUCUUUCGCCAGUGAAGCAGGCCUGCCUCGUUUGUGGGUGGGUUGACGGUAGCUGGAUAAGAAGCGCCGGCUAACUACGGG